UACGUAGGCAGCAAGCGUUGUUCGGAGUUACUGGGCGUAAAGGGUGCGUAGGCGGUUGUUUAAGUUUGGUGUGAAAUCUCCCGGCUCAACUGGGAGGGUGCGCCGAAUACUGAAUGACUAGAGUGCGGGAGAGGAGAGUGGAAUUCCUGGUGUAGCGGUGAAAUGCGUUGAUAUCAGGAGGAACACCCAUGGCGAAGGCAGCAAACUGGUCAUCAACUGACGCUGAGGCGCGAAAGCGUGGGUAGCAAACAGG
rnacentral:rRNA from 1 species